UACGAAGGGUGCAAGCGUUACUCGGAAUUACUGGGCGUAAAGCGUGCGUAGGCGGUGAGUUAAGUCUGAUGUGAAAUCCCCGGGCUCACCCUGGGAAUGGCAUUGGAUACUGGCUCGCUAGAGUACGGUAGAGGGUGGUGGAAUUCCCGGUGUAGCGGUGAAAUGCGUAGAGAUGGGGAGGAGCAUCUGUGGCGAAGGCGGCCAUCUGGACCAGUACUGACGCUGAGGCGCGAAAGCGUGGGGAGCAAACAGG
rnacentral:rRNA from 1 species